AAUGAACGCUGGCGGCAGGCCUAACACAUGCAAGUCGAACGGAUCCUUCGGGCUUAGUGGCGGACGGGUGAGUAACGCGUGGGCACAUACCCAAAGGUACGGAAUAGCCUCGGGAAACUGGGAGUAAUACCGUAUGUGCUCGAAAGAGGAAAGAUUUAUCGCCUUUGGAUUGGCCCGCGUUGGAUUAGGUAGUUGGUGGGGUAAUGGCCUACCAAGCCGACGAUCCAUAGCUGGUUUGAGAGGAUGAUCAGCCACACUGGGACUGAGACACGGCCCAGACUAAUACGGAGGGGAGCAGUGGGGAAUAUAAGACAACGGGGCAAGCCGUGAUCUAGCCCUGGCGCGAGAAGGAUGAAGGCCUUAGGUUUGUAAAGAGCUAUCAGGUGGGAAGAAAAUGACUGUGCAGACAGAAGCAGCAGCGGCUAACUCCGUGCCAGCCGUAGCAGUAA
rnacentral:rRNA from 1 species